rnacentral:rRNA from 1 species
UACGUAGGCAGCAAGCGUUGUCCGGAAUUAUUGGGCGUAAAGAGCUCGUAGGCGGUUUGUCGCGUCGACUGUGAAAACCUACAGCUUAACUGUGGGCUUGCAGUCGAUACGGGCAGACUUGAGUUCGGUAGGGGAGACUGGAAUUCCUGGUGUAGCGGUGAAAUGCGCAGAUAUCAGGAGGAACACCGGUGGCGAAGGCGGGUCUCUGGGCCGAUACUGACGCUGAGGAGCGAAAGCGUGGGGAGCGAACAGG